AAGCAGAGUAAAAAGUUUCUGAGAAUUUUCAAAGUUUAUAAAAGAGACCGAAAGGAGGUCUGUAUCCUUGGAAGCUCCGGCUUCAUUUUACCAAGACGUUUACCCUUAACCAUACCACGAAGUUUUAAACUUCAUCCAUCAUAAACACAAAAACAAAGGCCUCACGUCAACUUAAAAGACCAUCAUCUUCAUCAACAAGUGAUCGACGAACAAAAUCCAGGUUCAGGACACAGCCGGAUACACUGACGAGGGAAUGGCAGCAACAAUAAAAGCAAUAAAAGCAAUUUUGGACCAAAAGUUGAAAGAAAGCCAACUAAUUGAGAAUCAAAUCAAAGGACUAGAGGAAGCGCUGAAAGAUCUUGGAGGAUCAGCAGUAGACCUACCAAGCCCAGCAGAAGUAGCAACCCAAAGUACCACAACAACACCAC